UCGGCGACCGGCGCACGGGUGAGUAACGCGUAUCCAACCUGCCCAUAACUAAGGGAUAACCCAGCGAAAGUUGGACUAAUACCUUAUGUAUUCGUUUGAUCUCAUGAGAUUACAAUAAAGAUUUAUCGGUUAUGGAUGGGGAUGCGUCUGAUUAGCUUGUUGGCGGGGUAACGGCCCACCAAGGCAACGAUCAGUAGGGGUUCUGAGAGGAAGGUCCCCCACAUUGGAACUGAGACACGGUCCAAACUCCUACGGGAGGCAGCAGGC
rnacentral:rRNA from 1 species